UAAUUUUAGACCCACUCCCUGCAAUAAGCACAGUCCUCAGAGCCACCCCAAAGAUUCUCCUCUCCUUUCUCUAGUGUUUGCCCUAGUUGCCCUAUCGCCAUUUCCAUCUCGUAUCCUCUGUCUUCUCCAGCUGAACUGUCACGCUAGCACACCACAGCAUCCGUGCAGGGGGGAAGCGAGAGUGAGCAAUAACUGCGGUCCUUUCGCCUGACAUUGUACAACAUUUGCACGCUUCUUCCUCAGCACACCACUGCAUAGCAUUUCCUCGCCAAUGGAGUUGCCGAGAUGUAUCACCGUUCUCUUGCUCUUGUUGAUUUUGUGGAGAGAGGGGGAAGCGGCGACGUUCACGUUCGUGAACCGGUGCGGCGACACGGUGUGGCCGGGCAUCCUGUCCAACGCCGGCACCGCGCGCCUGGGCACCACGGGGUUCGAGCUCCCCACUGGCGCGUCGCGCGCCGUGCCCGCGCCCUCCGGCUGGUCCGGCCGCCUCUGGGCGCGCACCGGCUGCUCGGCCCAGAGCGGCUCCGGUCGUCUCGUCUGCGCCACGGGCGACUGCGGCUCCGGAGCCGCCGAGUGCGCCGGCGCCGGCGCGGCCCCGCCGGCCACGCUGGCCGAGUUCACGCUGGACGGCACCGGCUCCGGCCUGGACUUCUACGACGUGAGCCUCGUGGACGGCUACAACCUGCCGGUGCUCGUGGAGCCGUCGUCCUCGGGCGAGCAGCGCGGCGCCAGCGGCGGGACGGCGAGCGCCCCCGGGUCGUGCGCGGUGGCCGGGUGCGCGGCGGACCUGAACGCGAUGUGCCCCGGGGAGCUCCGGUCGAGCGGCGGCGGGUCCUGCCGGAGCGCGUGCGAGGCGUUCGGCAGGCCCGAGUACUGCUGCAGCGGGGCGUUCGCGAGCCCGAGCGCGUGCCGGCCCACGGCCUACUCGCAGGUGUUCAAGAUGGCGUGCCCGAGGUCCUACAGCUACGCAUUCGACGACCCAACGUCCACCUUCACCUGCGCCGGCGGCCCCGACUACACCGUCACCUUCUGCCCCGGCGCGUCCCCGAGCCAGAAGUCGACCACGCUGCCGGGCACGACGCCGACGGCGGUACCGGCGUCGACGACGCCGGUCGCGACGCUGACCCCGACAACGACGAUGCCGGGGACGACGACUCCGACAAUGAUGCCUGGGACGACGAUGCCGGGGACGACGUUCACUGACGCCAUCCCGGACAGCACGCCGAUGCCGAUGAGCGGCGAGGUCGGCGGUCAGGGCGUGUUCCUCAGUGAAGGCGGCGGCGGGAGCAGCGACUCCUGGCUCGCCAACAUGGCCACCGGCGACGUCACCGCCGCAGGGGACUCGCUCGCGGCAGCCUCGUUGUAUCUGGUGGCGGCGCCAUUGGCGUUGCUUCUGCUGACACGAUAGCUGGUGGUGGCCGCUCGCCAUUGUGCGACGUGAUGGUAACCGGCAGACUGGCAGAGCAGGAUCGGGUGAGUGGGGUGGCCGAAUUACACAGCAACAUUUUGAAGCAAGAGCUAUUUGCAGACUAUCUUUCUAUUUGAGGAAGAUGAACAAUGAUGAUUGAUCAAACUGGCUAGCUGCCAUGAUUUUUUUUGUCUCCUUGUAAUAUAUAAUCAAAUAACUAAUUGAUGUAGUAUUAUGUUCUGAAGAUUAAUGGCCAUUUUUCUUUGAUUC